rnacentral:rRNA from 1 species
GAUNUCGACUUNGAGGUUGUGCCCUUGAGGCGUGGCUUCCGGAGCUAACGCGUUAAGUCGACCGCCUGGGGAGUACGGCCGCAAGGUUAAAACUCAAAUGAAUUGACGGGGGCCCGCACAAGCGGUGGAGCAUGUGGUUUAAUUCGAUGCAACGCGAAGAACCUUACCUGGUCUUGACAUCCACAGAACUUGNCAGAGAUGCNUUGGUGCCUUCGGGAACUGUGAGACAGGUGCUGCAUGGCUGUCGUCAGCUCGUGUUGUGAAAUGUUGGGUUAAGUCCCGCAACGAGCGCAACCNUUAUCCUUUGUUGCCANCGGUUAGGCCGGGAACUCAAAGGAGACUGCCAGUGAUAAACUGGAGGAAGGUGGGGAUGACGUCAAGUCAUCAUGGCCCUUACGACCAGGGCUACACACGUGCUACAAUGGCGCAUACAAAGAGAAGCAAUCUCGCGAGAGCUAGCGGACCUCAUAAANUGCGUCGUAGUCCGGAUUGGAGUCUGCAACUCGACUCCAUGAAGUCGGAAUCGCUAGUAAUCGUGAAUCAGAAUGUCACGGUGAAUACGUUCCCGGGCCUUGUACACACCGCCCGUCACAUCCAUGG